GACGAACGCUGGCGGCGUGCUUAACACAUGCAAGUCGAACGGUGAAGGGGAGCUUGCUCCCCGGAUCAGUGGCGAACGGGUGAGUAACACGUGGGCAACCUGCCCCAGACUUCGGGAUAACGCUUCGAAAGAGGUGCUAAUACCGGAUACGAACUCCUUGGGCAUCCUGGGAGUUGGAAAGUUUUUCGGUCUGGGAUGGGCCCGCGGCCUAUCAGCUUGUUGGUGAGGUAACGGCUCACCAAGGCGACGACGGGUAGCCGGCCUGAGAGGGCGACCGGCCACACUGGGACUGAGACACGGCCCAGACUCCUACGGGAGGCAGCAGUGGGGAAUAUUGCGCAAUGGGCGAAAGCCUGACGCAGCAACGCCGCGUGAGGGAUGACGGCCUUCGGGUUGUAAACCUCUUUCAGCAGGGAAGAAGCGAAAGUGACGGUACCUGCAGAAGAAGCACCGGCUAACUACGUGCCAGCCGCCGCAGUAA
rnacentral:rRNA from 1 species